UGGCCUUGGUACAGUCUAUCUCUUCAACUUUGGCCCUGAUAUCAAAACAAUGACCUACCAGAAGGAAAAGGUUUCAGAGUUUGAUGAGUCGCUGCACCGAAUUGCGCUGGAAGUAAUAGAAGGCGGCCACCUGAAUCUCGGUUUUUCAUACUACAAUACAAUUUUCCAGCUAACUGCAACUGAAGAAGGGGAGACCCUGAUUGAGGUCACUG
rnacentral:misc_RNA from 1 species